CCCCCACCAGCUCCCAGUAUUGUCUUCCGGUUGCUAGACGACGCAGCUUUCCAGUACAUUAUUCGUAAUAUAAAAACUAAAAUCAGGGGAUGUGUCACACGGGCACCUUCGCAUCUCCUAACGGCGGGGCCGACGGCUGCUGACGCAGACAGAAGAGAAACUCAGGGGAGAUACCGUCCCAGAUGUAAAGGGGUGAACUCUCUCUUCCUCUGACCUCGACAGAAGUCCGAGGAGGAAGACUCCACUCUCUCUUAUCUAAAGGCCUUUUGUGAGGUUGGGAGUGACCCAAAAGUCGCCUCUCUAUUCCUGUCUGAGGAGAGAGUAUUUCCAGAUCGGAGGCGCGGUCUGCAGGGCCCGGGCCAGGCGUCCAUGAAUACCGGAUUAUGCCUCCUACCCCAGUCUCCUAAGCGUGUGCCAGCCACAGUUCCAGAAUGAACCAUAAGCGGAGAAAAAAAAAAUUUUGUGAAUCAAGAGGUUUAUUAUUUUCUCCCAGUAAGGAUUUUGAAACCCAGAUUUCCACAUUUUUAAGGGUUUGAUGUCAUAAAAUUCCCAUGUAUGAUUACAUUUUAAAAAACAGAGUCAUUGUGUGUGUGUGUGUGUGUGUGUGUGUUGGAACGUAAGAGGUUUAGCAUACAACUCAGAAAAUGAAUUCCUAAACCCAGAGUUUGAAAGGCACAGACACAACGGGCCAUCAAGCUGGGCAUCUGCUACAAAGAAUCCAUGGGAUGUUAAGUCUGUUGUCCUGGAACCAUCUGGAAAUUAAAUGUUAGUCUUCUGAAAAGAACCGGGACCUCCAAAUGUUGUUGUUACUCUGAGUGCAGUGUAAGCAGGUUUCUAUUUAAAACUUUCACACCUGCUACUUGAAUAUUUCUUGUUUUCCGAAGGGUACCCUCUAUACCUCUUGGAUUCUUUCCCACCUUCCCUUUUCCAUGUUAGUUUGGUUUAAUCCCACCUGCUGGCACGAAGGGAAAGAUAUUUAUAAACGUCAUCUAUAGGGGUGCCUGGGUGGCUCAAUCAGUUAAGCAUCCGACUUUGGCUCAGGUUAUGAUCUCUCAUGGUCCGUGAGUUCAAGCCCCGUGUUGGGCUCUGUGCUGACGGCUCAGAUCCUGGAGCCUGCUUUGGAUUCUGCCUCCCCCUCUCUCUGCCCCUCCCCUGCUUGCACUCUGUCUCUCAAAAGUAAGUCGAUAUUUUAAAAUUCUAUAUCUAAAAAA